GAUUGACUAUGGUCUCUCCGGCUACCAGGUAGGGGCUGGGGAAGAAGGAACCUCCGAGAUGAGGCGAUAGGGUCUGGCCUUGAGCUGAGGCGACGCCCCGGCUUGGGUGAGGGGAAGCGGUGUAGUGGUCGAGCUAAGGCCGCGGGCCCUGGGCGGCUUCCGGAUCCCCGCGACGCCGAACUCUGAAGGAAGACUCAGCCCAGGCGCUGGGACCAGAGCCCUGGCUCCGGCGAGUGCGUGGCGGGGAAACCCGCCUGUCGCCGAGGUGUCUUGAGUCCAGUUUCCGCUGCUGGGAAUGGGUGUCGCGCCGGGCGCUGUGUGUGAAAGGCCUCGCGCCCACAGGGCUCCUGGCUUCAACCUGUUUAUUCCCACAUUUCUGCGCGACGUAGGGGAGGCUCCGCAGCGUCUGCGAGUGGCAGGACCGAGGGUUGAGCGCUGGGGGCCAGUGGCACCUUAGCCAGUGACGGCGAGUUAGGACUAGCAAAGGAAGUCCGGUUUUUCAGAAGGCAGGAGGAGGGUGCUGACUCGAGCGUCCACGGGAAUGGCUGGUUGAGAUAUCUUGCUCUUCCAAUACUUACUCUGCGGCUUCCUGGCUGUGCGGCUUUGGGCAAAUGUUUUAAACUCUGAGUGUUUCUUCAGCUGUAACUUUGGGAGUAACAAGCCCACUCAUAAGGUUGUUGUGAAGCGUAAAUGAGACUGCGCGUGCAAGGUGCUCAGCUGGUGUCUGGCACAUAGUAGGUAUUCAACAAAUGGUAGCCACAUAAUGCUCUUUUUUUCAGUUUCCAAACCUUCCAUGUAGUGAUUGGAGAAUCGUGAAGUUACUUUUGAAGUAACGUUUGGGUUUCACACACUCAUACAUUUAGUAAGCAGAAUUCUUGCUUACACUGUUGCCGAUUGCAACGGUGUGUUUGCAUAAUGGAAGCUAUGUUUGUGCCUUUGCCAAGGGUGUGGAAUAUGCCUUCCCUACCAUGUACAUGUCCCCUUUUCUCCAUUCCUUAAUAAUAGUUGAUAUUUUUUGAGUGUUUGCUAUGUUACAGGCACUGUACUAAUCCCUUUACUGAAUUAUUCAAUCCUGUAAUAACCCUAAUCAUAGGAACUAUAAUUUUUAUUUAUGGAGGGAGAAAUGGGCUUAGAGAUGUUAAGAAGUUUAUCCAAAGGCAUAGAGCUAUUAGCCAGGCAAGGUAGCACACGCCUGUAGUCCCAGCUAUUUGUUGGGGCUGAGGCAAGUGGAUUGCUUGAACCUGGGAGACAGGCUGCAGUGAGCCGAGAUCACGCCAUUGCAUUCAAGUCUGGGUGACAAAGUGAGACCCUGUCUUGGCUGGGCGCAGUGGCUCACACAUGUAAUCCCAGCACUUUAGGAGGCUGAGGCGGGCGGAUCACCUGAGGUCAGGAGUUCGAGACCAGCCUGGCCAACGUGGUGAAACCCCGUCUCUACUAAAAAAUACAAAAAUUGGCUGGGCGCGGUGGCUCACGCCUGUAUUUCCAGCACUUUGGGAGGCCAAGGCGGGCGGAUCACGAGGUCAGGACCUCGAGACCAUCCUGGCUAACACGGUGAAACCCCGUCUCUACUAAAAAAAUUCAAAAAAAUUGGCUGGGCUUGGUGGCGGGCGUCUGUAGUCCCAGCUACUAGGGAGGCUGAGGCAGGAGAAUGGCGUGCUCCGGAUGGCGGAGCUUGCAGUGAGCCGAGAUCCCGCCGCUGCACUCCAGCCUGGGCGACAUAGUGAGACUCUGUCUCAAAACAAACAAACAAACAAAAAUUAGCCGGGCGUGGUGGUGGGCGCCUGUAAUCCCAGCUACUCGGGAGGCUUUGGCAGGAGAAUCGCUUGAACCUGGGAGGCAGAGGUUGCAGUGAGCCGAGAUGCCGCCACUGCAUUCCAGCCUGGGCGACAAGAGCGAGGAGACUCCGUCUU
rnacentral:lncRNA from 10 species